GCCCCGGAGCUCGCAGCUCCGCUCCGAGCAUCCCUGUCCGCCCCCGGGGCAGGACCAGGGCCGGGCAGGGAAGGGGGACGGGGCGGGGGAAGCGGGAACAAGCGCUCGGUACCUCCGCCCAGCCCCGGCUCGCCCGGCUGGAGCCGUCCCGGAGAGCACAGACUUUAUUUCGGCUGGGCGUGUUCCUCCCUGGUGAUGGGGAAUGAAGCUGGAUCAGGCUGGGUGGGAGGUGCUGAAUUUUGAAGUGAAAAUGGGAGUGAAACCACUGAGAGCACAAGAGCCCUUCCCAAUGAGAUCUCCUGUGUGUGCUGCACUCCGCAGGAUGCUCCUCAUUUUGAACCAUUUCUCCCCCUUCCCAGUGAGAUCUGCCAUGUGUGCUGCACAGGAUGCUCCUCAUUUUAAAGCAGGACCUCCAGCACAGAGAAAGAGGAUCCCACUGCAGUUUGAGCAUCUGUAAAGCUGAGCCUGAAUUCAAGCUAAAAUGUUUUAUUGGACUGUUAGGAUCCAUUCCAGUUCUACCAGAGCUGGAAAUCCCGAGGUUGGGAGCAUCAAGAACGAUGAGGGAUCAUCAUUUGGGCACUGAGAAAUGCUCAAAAUCUCCCUUCAGGCCACAAGAAAACCUGGGAAGGACAAGGAAUAUCCCCCUAGCUCGCACUCCCUCUCCUCACAGGUGGAAAUCAGAGGAGGAAAGAAAUAAAUGAACGAUAAAAUAAAUUAAAUACCAACAAAAAAAAAUCGUUAAUUUUCCAGUUCUCCCCAGCCUUGCCUGAACUUGGGAAAUGCAAAAUGUCAAUUUAUGAGCCACAGCAUCUCUCCUUGGAGAGGGGCAGGCACAGGGAUGCUCCAGGCACAUUCCAUGGGGAACAUUCCCCCAGCUUGCAUUCCCUCUCCUCACAGGUGGAAAUCAGAGGAGGAAAGACGUAAAUAAACAAUAAAAAAAUUAAAUACAAAAAUUUGUUAAUUUUCCAAUUCUCCCCAGCCUUGCUUGAUGUUGGGCAGUGCUAAAUGUCAAUUUAUGAGCCACAGCAUCUCUCCUUGGAGAGGGGCAGGCACAGGGAUGCUCCAGGCACAUUCCAUGGGGAACAUUCCCCCAGCUUGCAUUCCCUCUCCUCACAGGUGGAAAGAAAUAAAUGAACA